AUUGGGAUAAGGUUAUAGGUCCCACAAAUUGCUAUUGCGCUGAAACCAUGUCUCAUUAACAUCAAAAUUACGUCAUUUUUACGUCAGCCGAAAUAAAAACAAAAAUAUACCAUCAGCUCGAAACUUCAGCCUAGUGCUGACGUCACUAAACUG